rnacentral:lncRNA from 1 species
AUUCGACCUCGCAGUGUGUGGAUGGACGCAAAAAGAAAGUGGAGAGCACGCAACUGGCAAAACCUUCAUUAAAUAUGAGCAUCUCAAAGAUCGAUGGGCAAGCAAAGGCAUUUUCAUCGUAUAUAUACAAUUUUAUAUUUUUCACUGUUACACAGAUAACUGUGCUUCGAUCCGAUCAAUCGCAUCGUCCUAAAGAGAAAGAAAUUACUACUAGAACCUGACAAAACCGAGCCACGAGCGCUGGUCCACCAUGGGUGGGGACUUAGUUGCUUUAAUUUUACUGAGUAGCAGACGCAAUAUAAAUGAUUAUGUUUAUACUGUUAAAGUAAUUUACUGAAAAAUGACGCCCAGCCAAAACAAGAUAAUCCCAUUGUGAUCUACCCUUGCUAUUCUUUCUUGCCGACCGUCAAAGCCAACCGCUUUAGCUGGAGGUUAAGUAGCUUGCUGUCUACUUAAGCAUAAUCGAAGUAUGGUGUAACGAUCUAGCCAUCAGACGUCGAGUUUGAUCAUCGGUACCUCGGAGGCUCGCCCAGCUUUAUCACAACAUUUUGCAAUGAAGAUGGAUAAGUGUGGUCAAAUGCAAGCUGCUGAUCUGUUCCAUGAUCGUUUUUCCGUUCUCCUACUCUGCUACUCUGCUGGUAGCCAAGGUGCGAGAUCUGCAAAUAAUGUGGAAAAAGCAGUCGCAGCCGCAGCUCCAGCCCCAGACACAGCCCGCUUGGCUGAUCUCGUGGUCACCCCCUACCGUUCCUUAAGCGAAAAACGAAGUCGCCUUUUCUGUGGCCUCUUGUGUACGGCUCUAUUAACCCCUGCCGCUGAUUUGGUGAUAACGAUCGUAAUCGUAGCGGUUCUCUAGGUGCAACACAUGUUGCACUUGGUUCCCCCACCCUCCAACAUGACGGGGAAUAUAGCAUAGUGUGCUAUAUUAUUUUCCCUAAUUUAGAAAAUAGUUCUUGCAGCACAAAUUAGUAUGAUUCGCUGUUCGCAUUUAUCGUACGUUCGCCUUGUUAAAAUCGGCUGUGCCUGCCUGUCGCUUUCCCUGAAAAGCCAAAUUGGAAUCAAACCGUCGGGGGAAACAUGUGAUUUGGCUCCUAUAUGGUUAUGGUUAUGUGUUGGCUAUGAGACCCGUAGCUAUUUCUGCAUAGUUGGGGCAAAUAGAAUUCGAAAGUGGUUACCAGCCCUUACUAACUCAUCUUUCUUUGUUGGUAAAUGGCCAAUUUUCGGUUGAGG